rnacentral:tRNA from 1 species
GCUGGUGUAGCUCAGUUGGUAGAGCUACUGCCUUGUAAGCAGUGGGUCGGCGGUUCGAGUCCGUUCACCAGCUCCA